UGUGCUGCAGACAGACAAGCCAUGUGCAACUGCAAUCAGAAACAUGUCAAAGGGUCUAUAAAGACAUUACUGACCAUGAAAUGAGAAGAUGCAUAGGGGAUUGCCAAUCCCACACAAGAAUUGUUUGUGGUCACAGAUAAGCAGCCGGUGCCAAAUUCAAGAUCAUAG